AGAGAGAGACAUGCGCGCAUAUCAAUAAGCGGAGGAAAAGAAACUAACAAGGAUUCCCUUAGUAACGGCGAGUGAAGCGGGAAGAGCUCAAAUUUGAAAUCUUCAAGGUUCUACCUUGACGAAUUGUAGUUUAAAGAAGUGUUUUCUGUUGAAGUUUUGGUAAAAGUUCUUUGGAAUAGGACAUUCAUAGAGGGUGAGAAUCCCGUAUUUGACCAUUAUUUUCCAGCUGUGUGAUACACUUUCAAAGAGUCGGAUUGUUUGGGAAUGCAGUCCAAAAUGGGUGGUAAAUUUCAUCUAAAGCUAAAUAUUGGCGAGAGACCGAUAGCGAACAAGUACCGUGAGGGAGAGAUGAAAAGAACUUUGAAAAGAGAGUUAAACAGUACGUGAAAUUGUCAAAAGGGAAGCGUUUGACACCAGUGUUGUUUUCUCGAAAAUCAAUUAAAAAAGGCAGGAUUUUGUGUUGUAUUGACUUUAUCAGCUUUCUGCACUCUUUUCUUGUCUUUUUUUAAUGCACUUUUCGUUUAACAAGUCAACAUCAAUUUCUUUUGUUGUAAAAGGGUCAUUGGAAGGUGGCUUUCUUUUCGGAGAAAGUGUUUAUAGCCUUUGGCCUCUGCAAUCGGAGAGAUUGAGGUCUGCAGCGUAGAUCCUUCGGGGUUAGAUACAUUUGUGCUAAGUUAUAGCCUUUCAUAGACAACUUGUUGACUAUGAUCAGUCAUGUAGCUUACUCGCUUAUGCUAUUUUACCUACGCUUAGGAUGUUGAUGUGAUACUGCGAGCA
rnacentral:rRNA from 1 species